rnacentral:rRNA from 1 species
UUGACAUGUCCGGAAUCCCGAAGAGAUUUGGGAGUGCUCGCAAGAGAACCGGAACACAGGUGCUGCAUGGCUGUCGUCAGCUCGUGUCGUGAGAUGUUGGGUUAAGUCCCGGCAACCGAGCGCAACCCUUGUCCAUUAGUUGCCAUCAUUUGGUUGGGCACUCUAAUGAGACUGCCGGUGACAAACCGGAGGAAGGUGGGGAUGACGUCAAGUCCUCAUGGCCCUAUGGGUAGGGCUUCACACGUCAUACAAUGGUCGGUACAGAGGGUUGCCAACCGCGAGGGGGAGCUAAUCCCACAAAGCCGAUCGUAGUCCGGAUCGCAGUCUGCAACUCGACUGCGUGAAGUCGGAAUCGCUAGUAAUCGUGGAUCAGCAUGUCACGGUGAAUACGUUCCCGGGUCUU